GUGCUGGUUUUGGCAGCACAUAUACUAAAAUUGGAAUGAUACAGAGAAGAUGAGCAUGGUCCCCUGCACGAGAAUGAUGCACACAUUCGUGAAGAAUAAUUUC
rnacentral:snRNA from 1 species